rnacentral:rRNA from 1 species
AUACGGAGGGGGCUAGCGUUGUUCGGAAUUACUGGGCGUAAAGCGCAUGCAGGCGGAUCGCUAAGUCGGGGGUGAAAGCCCGAGGCUCAACCUCGGAACUGCCUUCGAUACUGGCGAUCUUGAGUCCGGGAGAGGUGAGUGGAACUCCGAGUGUAGAGGUGAAAUUCGUAGAUAUUCGGAAGAACACCAGUGGCGAAGGCGGCUCACUGGCCCGGUACUGACGCUGAGAUGCGAAAGCGUGGGGAGCAAACAGGAGUAGAAACCCCAGUAGUCC